rnacentral:sRNA from 1 species
AUGUACCACGCGUACAUUCCGGUUCCUGCGCGCCGUCCGCACCCACCUGAGGACUGCUCGCUCUGUUUUGUCGGUC